AUAUCUUUAGAAAGUCUGUUUUGCGGGUGCUACACUUAUGAUGACCAUAACGAUGUGCCCAGCUAUCAAAACAAGGGGACCGGUGUAUUUAAAAUAAGCGGACGGGCACAUGCGGCA